rnacentral:rRNA from 1 species
GACAGAGGGGGCAAGCGUUGCUCGGAAUUACUGGGCGUAAAGGGCGCGUAGGCGGGAUGGCAAGUCGGUCGUGAAAUCCCUCGGCUCAACUGAGGAUCGUCGAUCGAUACUGCCGUUCUUGAGGAUUGCAGAGGAGACUGGAAUUCCCGGUGUAGCGGUGGAAUGCGUAGAGAUCCGGAAGAACACCGGUGGCGAAGGCGGCCUGCUGGGCAGUUGCUGACACUGAGGCGCGACAGCGUGGGGAGCAAACAGG